UUUCCGUAGGUGAACCUGCGGAAGGAUCAUUAAAGAAUUUGCCCCGUCCUCUCGAGGAUGGGUCCUCUUCUAAACCGUGUAUACAUACCUUUGUUGCUUUGGCGGGCCGCCGUCUCGGCGUUGGCUUCGGCUGACUGUGCCCGCCAGAGAACCCCAACUCUUCUGUUUAGUAUUGUCUGAGUACUAUAUAAUAGUUAAAACUUUCAACAACGGAUCUCUUGGCUCUA
rnacentral:misc_RNA from 1 species